AAUCUACCUUGUACAGAGGGAUAGCCCAGAGAAAUUUGGAUUAAUACCUCAUAGUAUUAUUGAAUGGCAUCAUUUAAUGAUUAAAGUUCCAACGGUACAAGAUGAGCAUGCGUCCUAUUAGCUAGUUGGUGUGGUAACGGCAUACCAAGGCUACGAUAGGUAGGGGUCCUGAGAGGGAGAUCCCCCACACUGGUACUGAGACACAGACCAGACUCCUACGGGAGGCAGCAGUGAGGAAUAUUGGACAAUGGGCGCAAGCCUGAUCCAGCCAUGCCGCGUGCAGGAAGACGCAUCUAUGGUGUGUAAACUGCUUUUGUACGGGAAGAAACACUCCCUCGUGAGGGAGCUUGACGGUACCGUAAGAAUAAGGAUCGGCUAACUCCGUGCCAGCAGCCGCGGUAAUACGGAGGGUCCAAGCGUUAUCCGGAAUCAUUGGGUUUAAAGGGUCCGUAGGCGGUUUAAUAAGUCAGUGGUGAAAGCCCAUCGCUCAACGAUGGAACGGCCAUUGAUACUGUUAGACUUGAAUUACAAGGAAGUAACUAGAAUAUGUAGUGUAGCGGUGAAAUGCUUAGAUAUUACAUGGAAUACCAAUUGCGAAGGCAGGUUACUACUUGUGGAUUGACGCUGAUGGACGAAAGCGUGGGGAGCGAACAGGAUUAGAUACCCUGGUAGUCCACGCCGUAAACGAUGGA
rnacentral:rRNA from 1 species